rnacentral:rRNA from 1 species
GACGAACGCUGGCGGCGUGCUUAACACAUGCAAGUCGAACGAAGUGGCGAACGGGUGAGUAACGCGUAAUCAACCUGCCCUUCAGAGGGGGACAACAGUUGGAAACGACUGCUAAUACCGCAUACUGAAGGAGGGGAUUGCGUCUGAUUAGCUAGUUGGAGGGGUAACGGCCCACCAAGGCGAUGAUCAGUAGCCGGUCUGAGAGGAUGAACGGCCACAUUGGGACUGAGACACGGCCCAGACUCCUACGGGAGGCAGCAGUGGGGAAUCUUCCGCAAUGGACGAAAGUCUGACGGAGCAACGCCGCGUGAGUGAUGACGGCCUUCGGGUUGUAAAGGACUUUUGUUAGGGAAGCGGUACCUAAAGAAUAAGCACCGGCUAACUACGUGCCAGCAGCCGCGGUAAUAC